UGAACCUACGCACCAGAAGAGAUGAGGGCUCAGGGAGGGAGGAACCUUCAAUCCAUGACAAAACAAGGGCCUAGAUGUUUCAUCAGGCUGUAUUUUACUGUAUGAAGUAAAACUGGGUUAAAGAGACCGUCUUCGUCAUGACGAAAUUGUAAGACGAGUUCCAGGAGGAUGACCAUGAGCAGAUACGGGAAACCCCUGUAAGACACAAUUACCCAGACGGCCAGCACACCACCACACCUAAGCCUGUGUGGUGUGAAACUUGGCAAGCUGGAAAGAAAGAGAGAUGGGCCGAGAGACAGUGGGUGAAUGGCAAGGAGAGGAAGAGGAGGCUGGAAAAAUAUUAAAUGCAAGCAUCCAUAUUCCCAUUAACCAGCCUGAAACGGAGUCACCAACCGGAGUCUGGACUUUUGUUCAGCUUGCUGAUGAGGUUGACUGGAUACUGGAAAAUGUCCAGAAUGGCCAGCAGGGUGCGUGUGAGCCGCAGCAGUUCACUGAAGCCGUAAAACCCAAAGUCAACCAGCUUUCGAGCCAGAUUUACCACCUAAAGGGAAAAGGUCAGGUGUUGUUAAGAACACAAACAGUCAAACAGACGACGAUAUUAAAAGUUCAUCCAUCUUGUUUCUUGGCUUUAAAGUGUUGCUGGUUACAAGCUUAAAAAACAGCAGAUUUGAAAUGUCAGCAUCAGUGAACCAAUAUGUUUGUCUAACAACUCUAUUGUUGCUGCAGUGGCUUUCACUGAUAUUUUACCUCCAGAGUGAGUUCAUUCUUGUCUUUAUCUUCAAACGGAAAAGACCGGGUGACUACAUCUUUGAGAUAUUCCUCCACAAAAUCCAUGGUGGAGGCAAAUUUCCUCUUCAUGUCCUCUCUCGAGCUGUCCGUUGACUCAUACUCGUACCUGGAGGGGGUGGGUGAGACAAAAAGCUGUUAAAACAAUAUUCCUGCACACAAUGUGACAUCUCUGGAGGAGAUGGCUCACUCGUUGAUGGUGAUCUUGGAGGGGAUCUCCGUCCAGAGGCGGGCGUAGCGCACCGGAACCACAGACUCCUGCGGGUCACGGUCUACGUGCAUGUGCAGCAUGAGGCGACAGAAGGCCGCUCUGAGGUCGUAGGGCAGGCUUUCGUCAAACAUGCAGCGCAGGAUCAGGUCCACAGGUAACUGACUGGAGAUCUGGUUGAUGGCGAGGUACUGCCGGUCCAAACACAUUUUAGCAAAAAGGUUCAGCUGAUACCUGCAGAGGAGAGGCACAGACUUCUGACUUCACAUCCAAUUCAUUUGCAACCAGAACUAAUCACACUGGAACCGUUACAACUAAAGUGUCCCAACCUGUAGUAGGUAAUAUUUUCCACAUCCUUCUUGUGGUUGUCUUUAGCGUCCUGAGCCAGGUGGCGAAUGGAUUUGCCGUGAGGCUCCUUGUUGCUGUCAAUCCAGUAGAGCCAGACCUCCUCCUCUUCCAACUCCUCCUGCAUAGAGGACUCCAGGCUGGCUGGCAUGUUAGAGAUUAGCCUAACGGGGUUAUGGAGGAGGAAAAAACAGACUGCAUAAAGAAAUUAUUCACUAACAUAACAGUAAAGAAAGUUUGUGGUACAGAGAAAAUAUUAAAUUCACAAUAAUACUGCUGUGUAGAGAGAUUCCUUCUGUUUAACCACGCUUCAGAGAUAAACAGAGAUGUGAGAAGCUUCUUGAACUUUCCAAAGCAGCUGGCGUGACUCACUUAGUUUGGAAGAGGAUAUCGGCGUUGCUGGGGUUCAGCAUAAAUUUACAGAUGAGCUCCUGUGUGACAGGGAUGGCCAUCUUGUUGGACACACACAGAUCAGACAAAUAAUCCAGGUAUCUGACAAAACAAAUAAGACAAGGGAUCAAUAACAUUUAACAAAUUUAAGCAGAUGGUUCCUUCUUCAUUUAAGAGGCCAAACUAAACCAAUAAAAUCAUCUUUUUUAAAUCACCAAACAAGCAUAAUGUUAAGUUCCCAUGGUCAUUUAAUUAUGAUUAUGCCGUUUUUAGCUGUGUUUUCAUGAGUUGUAGGUAAGACUGUUGUGAGCAACCCUGCCCCCACUUCCUAUCAUCCAUUUGUUAACACUCUUCCCUGAUGUCUUACAGUUCCUCACACCCACAACAUAACAUUACUGGUGCAACUAAAAUAGUGAGUAAUAUUGGGGCUAUCCCGCUGUACAAUUUGGAGCCAGAUGCCAGCUCAGCUGAGCAUCAGAAUGCCCCACCCAUCAAAUUUUCUAUGCAACAAAUACAAUAUUUUUCAAACUGAAUUUUUUCAUCUGUUCCUGAUCCAAAAUGAUUUCAGUGAAGAAAUACUCAGAAAUGUAAAAUUAGGUAAUUUUUUUUUUUUUUAGAUUUUUAAAAAUCUUUUAAAAAGGUCCUCCGUCAUGUGAAAAAUGCCACAAGAACAUGUUAAAAACACCAUUUCAUUGGAGAGGGUCCUAACCUUGGUUCUCGGUUUCGCCUCAGCUGGUUGACAAACGUCUCGAUCUCCCUGGCUGUGAUGUGUUGCUCCAGAAGUUUGCGGUUGUUGUGCAGCAGUGCAGUGAUCGUGUCUUCAGCCAGAAUCUCAUACCCGAUCUGAGACUGCAUGAUUGAGAAUUUUUUGGCAAUAUAUUCCUAAAAGAAAGAAGAAGAAAAAAAAAGAUUAAGCUUGCAAAGAAUAAAGUCACAUUUUCUUGAAUUUGAAAACUUUAUUUGUACAUAUAAAUGU
ensembl:lncRNA